rnacentral:rRNA from 1 species
UGGGGAAUAUUGCACAAUGGGCGAAAGCCUGAUGCAGCAACGCCGCGUGCGGGAAGACAGCCCUAGGGUUGUAAACCGCUUUCAGCAGGGAAGAAACUGACGGUACCUGCAGAAGAAGAUGCGGCCAACUACGUGCCAGCAGCCGCGGUGACACGUAGGCAUCAAGCGUUAUCCGGAUUUAUUGGGCGUAAAGAGCUCGUAGGCGGUUCGGUAAGUCGGGUGUGAAAACUCUGGGCUCAACCCAGAGAGGCCACUCGAUACUGCUGUGACUAGAGUGCGGUAGGGGGAGCGGGGGAAUUCCUGGUGUAGCGGUGAAAUGCGCAGAUAUCAGGAGGGAACACCAGUGGCGAAGGCGCCGCUCUGGGGCCGUAACUGACGCUGAGGAGCGAAAAGCAUGGGUAGCAAAACAGGAUUAGAUACCCUGGUAGUCCAUGCCGUAAAACGUUGGGCACUAGGUGUGGGUCUCAAACCAACGAGAUCCGCGCCGUCGCU